rnacentral:rRNA from 1 species
CAGCAGCCGCGGUAAUACGGAGGGAGCUAGCGUUAUUCGGAAUUACUGGGCGUAAAGCGCACGUAGGCGGCUUUGUAAGUUAGAGGUGAAAGCCUGGAGCUCAACUCCAGAAUUGCCUUUAAGACUGCAUCGCUUGAAUCCAGGAGAGGUGAGUGGAAUUCCGAGUGUAGAGGUGAAAUUCGUAGAUAUUCGGAAGAACACCAGUGGCGAAGGCGGCUCACUGGACUGGUAUUGACGCUGAGGUGCGAAAGCGUGGGGAGCAAACAGGAUUAGAUACCCCAGUAGUCCCUGUCUCUUAUAC